rnacentral:rRNA from 1 species
AUUGAACGCUGGCGGCAUGCCUUACACAUGCAAGUCGAACGGUAACAGGUUAAGCUGACGAGUGGCGAACGGGUGAGUAAUGUAUCGGAACGUGCCCAGUCGUGGGGGAUAACUGCUCGAAAGAGCAGCUAAUACCGCAUACGACCUGAGGGUGAAAGCGGGGGAUCGCAAGACCUCGCGCGAUUGGAGCGGCCGAUAGCAGAUUAGGUAGUUGGUGAGGUAAAGGCUUACCAAGCCGACGAUCUGUAGCUGGUCUGAGAGGACGACCAGCCACACUGGGACUGAGACACGGCCCAGACUCCUACGGGAGGCAGCAGUGGGGAAUUUUGGACAAAGGGCGAAAGCCUGAUCCAGCCAUGCCGCGUGUGUGAAGAAGGCCUUCGGGUUGUAAAGCGCUUUUGUCCGGAAAGAAAAGGUUCUCGCUAAUACCUGCGGGUCAUGACGGUACCUGAAGAAUAAGCACCGGCUAACUACGUG